UACGGGGGGUGCAAGCGUUGUCCGGAAUCACUGGGCGUAAAGGGCGCGUAGGCGGCGUCGUAAGUCUGUGGUGAAAGCUCGGAGCUCAACUCCGGGUCUGCCGCGGAUACUGCGAGGCUUGAGUGCUGUAGAGGGGGGUAGAAUGCCGGGUGUAGCGGUGGAAUGCGUAGAGAUCCGGCAGAAGACCGGUGGCGAAGGCGGCCCCCUGGGCAGUAACUGACACUGAGGCGCGACAGCGUGGGGAGCAAACAGG
rnacentral:rRNA from 1 species